GUGCUUGCUUUGGCAGCACCUGUAUUAAAAUUGGAAUAAUACAGAGAAGAUUAGCAUGGCCCUACUCAAGGGUGACAUGCAAAUUCAUGAAGCAUUCAUAUUUUAA
ensembl:snRNA U6 U6 spliceosomal RNA